GUUCUGGGCGAGUGUGCCCGAGACCAGGCGCGUACGUGUGUGUGUGUGUGUGUGUAUGUGUAAGAGAGAGGAGCGGAGCCUACCAUGCGCUUCCCUGGUGCGGAUCGCGGGAGAGCCCAAUCACAGGGCGAGCUGGACCUGGCUGUGAUCAUUUAUAAUCCUUGACUCCUCCGCUCCGCCACUUGUCAAGAUGACAGGAGUUAAGGAAGGCAAUAAGAAUAGAGGCGGCAUGAACACACAAGAACUUGGGAAGAGAGGAAUGUGAGCUGUGAAAAACCAAGCAGAAGUGUUUCCAUCUCAAUGGCACUAUGAGCUGGAGAAGUCAUAGGAAACCAAAGGACUCAAGAGGAGACACUGCUAUCAAGAACUCCUGUCCACCGGGCAUUGGUGGAAGGAGAUGAAGCCGUUUUUACCAACCUGAACCUUUUUCCGUGGGCCACUAUACAGCUUAACCUAUGAACUCUGUCGAGCCGUUGAGGGCUCCUAAACAAUUUCUUAGCACGGAGUUCCUCUUUUCAGUAAACCCUGCUUCUCACUGAGUACAGAGUCGAAGCAAUCCUACAGCACUAACAUUUCAAUUGUUGCAUAUGGAGCCCAGUACAUAAAGGACCUCCCAAAGAGCGGUUUAU
rnacentral:lncRNA from 1 species